GCCAAAGCAACUACAAUCCAGCAAUCAUCAAGAGCUCACUAUACUGUAGAGAAUUGUUUUAGCAAUUCCGGAUUUCUUGGUGUUCCAUAUGAAGAAAACUUUGAUUCAGAAUUAGAAUGUCUGCCAGGCCGAAAAGCGAGAAGCUCUGUCAUCAGGGAGGCUUGAGGCAAUGGAAUGCCGCCACCCUGGGAUAGCAAGCAAGAUCAUCACAUCGCC